CGCCUCCUGCCCCCUCAUAGGAGGUAACGUCUGCUCAAUGCCCUUCGGGGUCAAUAGCCGCGGUACCCUGACCGUGCUAAGGUAGCGUAAUCAUCAGCCUAUUAAUUGUUGGCCUGUAUGAAUGGCGGGACGCUGGUAACACUGUCUCUAUUGUGCUUAGUUGAAUUUAACCUCCUGGUGAAAAGGCCAGGAUACCAUUAAAAGACGAUUAGACCCUGUCGAACUUCAGGCGACCCCCGAGCAACGCCCUGCCGCGCUCGGGGUUAACCUUUGGUUGGGGAAACCGGGGACCAAAAAAAACGUCCCCCUCCCACAUCCACUGCCCACGGCCAGUUCCCCCUUCCGACCUACGAAAGCUUGCCAAAGCACCUCUUACUCCGACGAGCCAAGGAUUCCACUUGACUAUGGGAAAAGUUACCGCAGGGAUAACAGCGUAAUCCUUCCGGAGAGACCACAUUAAGGGAAGGGUUUGCGACCUCGAUGUUGGCUUAAGACACCCCGGGGGUGCAGAAGCCCCCAAAGGUUGGUCUGUUCGACCACUAACGUCUUACAU
rnacentral:rRNA from 1 species